UAUCCACUAUUACCCUCAUAUACCGAUUGGUCUCUACAUACAUUUCUUAUCUUUUAUUUAUCGCAGGUUUGAGUGAGUGGUUGUCAACAAAAAGAACGGAAAGCGAACACACACACAUAGUUGAAAGCUAGACAGCUGCACAAAAUGGAUUCUCUGGAGAUUUAACAGCGACGCUGAGCGACGCACCAACUUCUAAUAGCAAUUGAGUAAGACAAAGAGACACGCUCUCUAGGCUUGCGUCGCAGACUUAACAGAGCGUCGACGUCGUAAGAGAAAAGGCGCAUCCAGUGCUCCGUUAGCAGCAACGUUGUUUACUGCGCAGUAGUUUCGGGUCGCUUGAAGAGUGCAGACGUGCGGGGAGAGGUGCACUGACGAUCGACGCUUGUGAAAUAAGUGGCAAGGCAACCGGAAAGCAAAACGAUUCUGGGCGUGUUAAUCUGAUCAAAGUGCGGCAGCUACGAAAACAACGCAACAAUUUUGCGCCAAAUGAAAGAACAACACGAAAUUUGUGCAAACUUUUGGCCGCCGCCGUCGUUUGCUGUGGCUGUUGUGGCCCAGCCGAGCAGCCAGCUGCCGCACACACAUGGCGAGGCUUGGAAACGGAAGCCACACACACACACGCACACACAAACGCACACAUAUUCACAUAUGGAGCUAAAUAAACUGCUCAUUAUUA